UUUGAAGUCUUUUCAGUAUGAAACAAACACAAAGGGUAAAACAUUUCGAUGGAUAGGAGCACUUUUAAUUCUUGCUUCAGAUGUGUGGAGUUUCACUGUUAUUUAAUAAAUGGGUUUUAUCGUCACAGUUAAUUCGUUCCUUGUUUAUAUUCAAUUUCAACUUAGUUUUGUUUCCUUUGUAUAUUUUACUUGCCGUGCAAUUUGAUGGGAUGCCAUGCCUUGUUAGUUGCAUGUGGUAUGCCUACAAAAGUAGCAGUGUGUUUUGAGAACUGGAUUGAACCUGGGUAGUCUGUUAAUGUUGAUGUUGUAAUUUACCAAGGAGAAACUAGUAUUUGGUAUGUGUAUAGUUAAUGCAUGUGCAUUGGAUCUUUAGGAUCUUAGAAGGCAGUUCUUAAACUCGCCCAAACUAAAGAAGUUAAAUAGCUUAAGUCAUUUGGCCUGUCAUGUAGCUAGAAGGGAAAGGAGAUGCAAUUUCGUAAAUAUUAUCGUUUACAUAACACAUUUUGACACUGAUUCUGAUCGCUAAUAAUUUAUGGACUGGAAUGUUUCCAAUUUUUUCUGAAUGCAUUGCCGAUGUUGAUUAUGAAUGAAAAUUUCAUAGGUUAAUAGUUGUGCUUUAAUGGUUUUUCUUUGAGGUAGAACUAAUGUAAGAACAAUCUGCAUAUAUUCACCUUUGUUAGCAACUGUUGUCAAUUGUGGCAGUCUGGGAUUGAAUAGUUCGCUAUCCUUUCAUA